AUUGAACGCUGGCGGCAGGCCUAACACAUGCAAGUCGAGCGGAGCGGCGGGCGGGUGAGGAAUGCCUAGGAAUCUGCAUGGUAGUGGGGGAUAACGUCAGGCAACGGGAGGUAAUACAGCAUACAAUCAGAUGAGCCUAGGUCGGAUUAGCUAGGUGGUGGGGUAAAGGCCUACCAAGGCGACGAUCCGUAACUGGUCUGAGAGGAGGAUCAGUCACACUGGAACUGAGACACGGUCCAGACUCCUACGGGAGGCAGCAGUGGGGAAUAUUGGACAAUGGGCGAAAGCCUGAUCCAGCCAUGCCGCGUGUGUGAAGAAGGUCUUCGGAUUGUAAAGCACUUUAAGUUGGGAGGCGUUACCAACAGAAUAAGCACCGGCUAACUCCGUGCCAGCAGCCGCGGUAAUUC
rnacentral:rRNA from 1 species